UGGUCCUUCAUCAGGGGGAGGGGUACUUAUUUUCCAUAUUGACUGUGUUCAAAGAUUUAAAAUCUACACAUACUCUAAGAGACCCAUCUUUCUUGUCCUUGAAGAGCAUGGGAGCAGCAAUAUGGCAGGCUGACUGAAACCCCAAGCUAAGUAUUUAUUGAUGUACUUUCUCAGUUCUUUCAUUUCUCUGGGUGUCAUAGAGUACAUUUUUGCUUUUGGGAGCUUGGCACCAGGCAGAAUUUCAAUAGCACAAUCCAUAGCCUGGUGUGGGCGGAGGAUGUCACAUUCCUUCUCACUAAAUGCUUCCGCCAAAUCAUGGUAUUCUGUGUGGACCAGUUGAAUCCCUGGCACGUUUUUGGCUACAGUCUUUAGGGUCUUGUGGGGCUCCCCUUGAAUCUCACUGAUAGCUAGUGUCUUUGUUUUAUCAACAGUGGCAGGUGGGAGGGGUCCUGUCCCCAGUCUUAACCUCUGCAUUCCCUCCUCCCACAUGAUGUUAGGAUGCCAUUUACCCAACCAUGCUACCCCCAAAACUGCUUUGGUCAUCUUCAGAACCACCACAAAAUGGAUGAUUUUCCAAUGCUGACCCAUUUCCAAACACACAGGUUUGGUUAGGUGUUGUGGCAGGGGUACCUCCAAUAAGGGACCCAUCAGCCUGCUCAAAUCUCAUAGGUAGGGGCAAUGGCUUGGCUCGGAUGCCCAGUUUGAGACAGUGGGUAAGUUAAUUAAGCACUGAGUGCACCCCAAUCAAAUUCAUGUGAGCUCCCGUUUUGGGUACUACCAGCCUGGUGGGGAUAGCAAAAGAGGGAAUGGACUGACUCACCAUGGGGUCCUCCUCACCUUCCUCCUCACUGUCGUACAUUCCAGAAUCUGCUGUGGCUGGAAUUGGGGUUUGGCUUCAAACUCGGUGGGAGGGGAGGCUUCAACACCCAGGCCUUGAUGUGCCCAGUUAGUUUUUUCUCUUCCCCCUCUAGGAGCUCUUCAUGGUUUCACAGCAGCGACAGGUGCACUCCUGGGUUGAGGAUGGAUUUGGCAGUGUUGAAGUCCACACGCCUUAAAAUUGUCAAGUUUGGGAAACACUGAUCUAUCUGAUAUCUCUGAUUGUUAGAUGCAGGAAGUUCUGAACCACCCAGCAUUGUAGAUGACAUGCUAAGGGGAGAAGAAAUGUUUCAGAUCAACUCCUAAUAGACAAAAUGAUCUUGGAAAAAUGCAAGAAAAGGAAGACCAGC